rnacentral:rRNA from 1 species
UACGGGGGGGGCAAGCGUUGUUCGGAAUUACUGGGCGUAAAGGGCUCGUAGGCGGCCAACUAAGUCAGACGUGAAAUCCCUCGGCUUAACCGGGGAACUGCGUCUGAUACUGGAUGGCUUGAGUUUGGGAGAGGGAUGCGGAAUUCCAGGUGUAGCGGUGAAAUGCGUAGAUAUCUGGAGGAACACCGGUGGCGAAGGCGGCAUCCUGGACCGAUACUGACACUGAGGAGCGAAAGCCAGGGGAGCAAACGGG